rnacentral:rRNA from 1 species
ACUCCUACGGGAGGCAGCAGUGGGAAUAUUGCACAAUGGGGGAAACCCUGAUGCAGCCAUGCCGCGUGUGUGAAGAAGGCCUUCGGGUUGUAAAGCACUUUCAGUGGGGAGGAAAGGUUGUUGGUUAAUACCUAACAGCUGUGACGUUACCCACAGAAGAAGCACCGGCUAACUCCGUGCCAGCAGCCGCGGUAAUACGGAGGGUGCAAGCGUUAAUCGGAAUUACUGGGCGUAAAGCGUGCGCAGGCGGUCUGUUAAGCGAGAUGUGAAAGCCCCGGCUGC